rnacentral:ncRNA from 1 species
GUAGGUGGAUGGCGAGGCCAUCGCCUGCCAUUCUCCUCUUGUCGUUGUUGCUCCGGGGCCGGUUUGAGCCCCGGUUCUUUUGG